CUGUCUCUGGAUUUGUCAUUUUCCGGUCGUCAGCGUUCGCGCGAGUUUUGGCGAGUGUGCUAAGAAAAAGAUUGCUGAAAAUCGCUAAAUAGUGCUAUUUAAUUAAGUUUUAAUUGACAAUAGAAUACACAUAUACACCACCAAUUAAAAUGGCAGACAAACAAGUCGAUAGCGAAAUGAACGGCGAAGAUUUCACCAAGGAUGUUACCACCAAUGAUGUGGCGAGCCCUGAAAAUGGUGAAUCGACUCCCGCUGCCGGUGCUGCAAAUGGCAGUUCUGAAAAUACAGCCCCUGCGAGUAACCAGCGUGAUGACGACAGGAAACUAUUUGUUGGUGGACUCAGUUGGGAAACGACUGAGAAGGAAUUGCGCGAUCACUUCGGCAAGUUCGGUGAGAUCGAGAGCAUCAAUGUAAAGACAGAUCCUCAGACGGGCAGGUCACGCGGUUUCGCCUUCAUUGUGUUCACAAACACAGAGGCAAUUGAUCAGGUCAGCGCCGCUGAGGAGCACAUCAUCAACAGCAAGAAGGUGGAUCCCAAAAAGGCGAAGGCCCGCCAUGGCAAGAUCUUUGUCGGUGGCCUGACAACAGAGAUUAGCGAUGAGGAAAUCAAAACCUACUUCAGUCAGUUUGGCAAUAUUGUUGAGGUGGAGAUGCCAUUCGACAAGCAAAAGUCACACCGUAAGGGCUUCUGUUUCAUUACCUUCGAUUCAGAGCAGGUGGUUACCGAUCUGCUGAAAACGCCCAAACAGAAGAUCUCUGGCAAAGAAGUUGAUGUGAAGCGCGCAACACCAAAACCUGAGAAUCAAAUGAUGGCCAUGCGUGGUGGAGCGCGAGGCGGUAUGCGAGGUGGACGAGGCGGAUACGGACGUGGUGGUUAUUCCCAUCAAUGGGAUGGCCAGGGUUCGUAUUCGGGCUAUGGCGGCUAUGGCGGUUAUGGUUCCGGUGGCUUUGCCGAUUACUAUGCCGGUGGCUACUAUAAUGGAUAUGACUAUGGUUAUGACUACGGUUAUGGCGGCGGCUUUGAUGGUGGCUUUGGCGGUAAUGGCUACGGGAGCGGCGGCGGCGCUGGCGGGCGCGGUGCCGGAGGUCCGCGUGGCGGUCCCAAAGGCGGAGGCGGUGGCUUCAACGGUGGCAAGCAGCGCGGCACUGGACGCCAGCCACGACACCAGCCCUACUAAUCGGGCGGCAUUUGGAGCCCGACAUCUACUUAUAACUGCAAAACUAUUUGAAUUUUACUUAGUUUAGUUUGUUAUGUAUACAACAAAAUCAACAAUUACAACAACAACAAGGAGAAGAACACACAACAUACACUUUCGCAUGCGCAUCUAUAAACUUCUAUAAAGCGACUGCUGGGCAGAACCCGUAUUCCCAUGGCAAAUUGCAGUCCAGAGGAACAGAAAUACAACAACUAUACACACUUUGUUGUGUAGCACCAUUCCAACAACAACAUCAACAACAAGAACAACAACCAAAACUACUAUAGCAGAAGGCAGAAGGCAAUUACAUGUCCAGGAAGCAACGCAUCAUCUAUAUAUAAUUAAAUAUAUAUAUAUAUAUACACGCAGCAAGGAAGAGAGAGAACUUAGAGUUAGGCUUGGAGAGAUGUAAUUUUUCAGCAUGUGGCUAAUUUUUCAUAGCCACACGCUCGUUAAGCCAGCAUUGCCCACCAAGAGAACCCACACUGUAUCACAUAACAUUAUGCCUCACCCACUUAUGCUGUAUGUGUUUGUAAGAAGAGAGUGUGUGGGUGUGUGUGUGUGUGUGGGGUCAAACUAAUUUGUUUUUUCUUAUGUGAAGUCUCAUACAUUAUGCGAGGUAAUUGUUUAACUUGUAAGCAGGGUCAGACACACAUGCACACACACAUACGGAUACAGAGAUAAAUGCAACACACAUACAACAAGCUACACUCACACACAGAAACACAUAGAGAUACGAAUUCAGAAAUCAUAUACGGCAACCAUGUUUAAUAGUAACAGUAAAUACAUUAUAUAAAAUACAAUAGUCGUUAAGUAUUUGUUUAAACUUAAUUAAUUAAUAAUUGUAAUAUGUAAUACAUAAUAAUUAUUAUCAUAGUGCAACGCUAGGCAGCUGGCGCGCCAGCGGUGCGGGCGGGCGAUCUUUAAAGCGGGCAACCGCCGCGCAUUGUCCAAGUCCGCAUUCAACUACAACAAACAACAAAUCCACCAAAUUACAAAUAACAAAUGAUUUUUCCGAUAUAAAUGGUAAACGUUUUUUUUUGUGUAUGUAUUUGCGCUCAUUAAUAGUCUAUAAAGUACACAUAUAUACAUAUAUAAUGUAUAUGUAUACAAAUUAAAAGAGAAUUUUAUAUUUUAAUACAAAUCUAAUGCAGCAUGACAAGAACAAAGUAAACAACUAUUAAAACUUGCAUCAAGCUCUAUAAUAAUGAUGAAUAAUAAGAAUUAUUAUUAAAUCCAAACUGAACUACAUAAUGUAUAGUUUUUUCCACGAGACUACUGCGAGUAUAUUUGUUAAACCUAAAUAGGCAUAUAUCUAUAUAUACCUACAUAUAACUCUAUACAAAUAACUAUAGCUAUUUAAAAA